CCAGACUCCUACGGGAGGCAGCAGUGGGGAAUAUUGGGCAAUGGGCGAAAGCCUGACCCAGCAACGCCGCGUGAAGGAAGAAGGCUUUCGGGUUGUAAACUUCUUUUGACAGGGAAGAGCAGAAGACGGUACCUGUCGAAUAAGCCACGGCUAACUACGUGCCAGCAGCCGCGGUAAUACGUAGGGGGCAAGCGUUAUCCGGAUUUACUGGGUGUAAAGGGAGCGUAGACGGUUAUGUAAGUCUGGAGUGAAAGCCCGGGGCCCAACCCCGGGACUGCUUUGGAAACUGUGUAACUAGAGUACAGGAGGGGCAGGCGGAAUUCCUGGUGUAGCGGUGAAAUGCGUAGAUAUUAGGAGGAACACCAGUGGCGAAGGCGGCUUGCUGGACGAAAACUGACGUUGAGGCUCGAAAGCGUGGGGAGCAAACAGGAUUAGAUACCCCUGUAUUC
rnacentral:rRNA from 1 species